rnacentral:rRNA from 1 species
UAUCUCUGUAGAGUCUGCAUAUCAAUAAGCGGAGGAAAAGAAACUAACUAGGAUUCCCUCAGUAACGGCGAGUGAAGCGGGAAGAGCUCAAAUUUGAAAUCUUCAAGGUUUUACCUUGACGAAUUGUAGUUUAAAGAAGUGUUUUCUGUUGGUGUUUUGGUAAAAGUUCUUUGGAAUAGGACAUCAUAGAGGGUGAGAAUCCCGUAUUUGACCAUUACUUUCCAGCUUUGUGAUACACUUUCAAAGAGUCGGAUUGUUUGGGAAUGCAGUCCAAAAUGGGUGGUAAAUUUCAUCUAAAGCUAAAUACUGGCGAGAGACCGAUAGCGAACAAGUACCGUGAGGGAAAGAUGAAAAGAACUUUGAAAAGAGAGUUAAACAGUACGUGAAAUUGUCAAAAGGGAAGCGUUUGACACCAGUGUUGUUUUUUCCAAAAAUCAAUUACGAAUGGCUUGAUUCUGUGUUGUAUUGACCUUAUCAGCUUUCUGCACUUUUUUUCGAGUCUUUCUUAAUGCACUUUUUCGGUUAACAAGUCAACAUCAAUUUCUUUUGUUGUAAAAGAGUAUUCGGAAGGUGGCUUUCUUUUCGGAGAAAGUGUUUAUAGCCCUAUACUUCUACAAUCGGAGAGAUUGAGGUCUGCAGCGUAGAUCCUUCGGGGUUAGAUACAUUUGUGCUAAGUUGUAGCCUUUUCAUAGACAACUUGUUGACUAUGUUUAGUCAUGCGGCUUACUCGCUUAUGCUAUUUUACCUACGCUUAGGAUGUUGAAGAUGUAGCACAUCAU